UAUUCAGAGAGUCACCUCCACAGCAGCCCUCUCCCAACACCUUCAGCAGCAGGUUUGGACUCAACAGGAGAGGGGAGGCAUUGAGCUGGACACCCUCAACUCACAGGCUCAAUCAGGUGUUAACACUGUUUUGAAACAGGAAGAUGAUGUUAGAUGUUUUGAAACAGAAAGAUGUCAGAUGCUUCUUAGUUGAGUAGAUGUAAUUUUCGUGGUGACUAGAUAUGGACCACAACAUCUUGGUUUUGUUUCAGCCAGAAAUGAUGAGGAGUUAGUGGUAGGCUGGCAGGAGAAGCUGUUCAGUCAGUGUCCUUAUAACAAAUAAUAAUUGACUGUUUAGGAUAGUUUGAUGUUGCAUAGUAAGGUGUGUGUGUGUGUGUGCACAAUAUGAAGUGGGUUUGUUCCAGAGUGAGUCAGUAUGCCAGACUCCGCUGGAGAGACAAUACCACACAGAGAUCAUGACUCAGGAGCGGACCAGGGGCAGAUGGAACUGCAGGAUUUUCACCUACACCGAUUCUGACUGCUACACCAAUUGGGAAGGGGUGGUUUUCAACAGAAUCUCCAUUUCUGUAACGGUUCUGUAACCAAAGACGCUGGGAGACAGGAAGCAAGUAUAGGGGGAGGAUUUAUUAAUAAAUAGACAUGAAACUAGAGACGAACAGAGUCUGGACAAGAGAAACAAAACAACAUCGAUGCAGACAUGGGAAUGAAACUGAGGAAGUGACAGGUAUAGGGGAGGUAAUCAAUGAUGUGAUGGAGUCCAGGUGAGUCCGAUGAAGCGCUGGUGCGCGUAAAAAUGGUGACAGGUGUGCGUAAUGAUGAGCAGCCUGGCGACCUCGAGCGCCAGAGAGAGGGAGCUGGAGCAGACGUGACAAUUUCAUUAUUCAAAACAAAGCAUUUACCUAUUUUCUGUCCAAAAGAAACGUUAGUGUUUUAAAGCUGUUUUUGAUGUACUCACUACAGCAUUCCCAGAGUAUGGUGACGCAGGUCAAGUCCAAUCCUACCUUACUGGCACAUAGAAUGGCCAAUGUCAGACACAGACGACAGGACAGACGCCCAGUGUAGGUCCCUGUUACUCACCAAAGUGAAUUAUUAUUAAAGUGAAUGUAAUUGAAGCAGCAUUGAUGCGUCGUGCUGCUUUGAAGACAAACAGUGUACCGGUAUGUUCACAUUACACCAUACCCUUGUAUGCAAAAUGUGUUUGUGGUAUUCUGUUGGUCUGCAGUGACCGCACUAUCCCCAAGUCCAGGCUGAUAACCUGGGACCCCUCGGAGGACUUUGUGAAGACCAGCCACAUGGUCAACACACCUGUACAGACCAUGCACAUCAUGGGGAACCUGGGACCAGCGGGCAAACUUGGCUAAAAGGAGAAGGAAUGCUUGUCUGCACGAUAAGAGCAGAUGGAAAUGGAGUGGUUACCAUCAAACCAGACUUCAACAAAGGCAAUUAGCCCUACAGGCCAGUGACCCGCACCUGCUGAAGUCAAAAUGUUUUACCCCUAGCUCAAGUUGAGACGGAGGGGGAGAAGAGGGAGGUGUGGCGUCAGACCAGAGGAGACGGAACAGCAACAGUGCAUAUAUAGACCGUUAUGUACGUCAUAAAGACUACCUCAACAGCUUGGUUGGCCAGGACUGAAAUGGUAUGCAUGUAGUUUGUGACAGAUCUUUAACACAAGUUGUUUCGUCAGCAAAGGUCAUCUCAAAUCCAAUUUUAUUUGUUACAUGCGCUGAAUACAACCUUACAGUGAAAUGCUUAUUUACAAGCCCUUAACCAACAAUGCAGUUUAAGAAAAAUAAGUGUUAAGUAAAAAAUAGAUAAUUUAAAUAAAAGUAACAAAUAAUUAGAGAGCAGCAUUAAACUAACAAUUGCGAGGCUAUAUACAGGGUGUACCGCUACAGAGUCAAUGUCGGGGGCACCAGUUAGUCGAGGUAAUAGAGGUAAUAUGUACAUGUAGGUAGAGGUAAAGUGACUAUGCAGAGAGUAGCAGCAGCUUAUAACAGUGGGCGGGUGCAAAAAGUCUGGGUAGCCAUUUGAUUAGCUGUUCAGGAGUCUUAUGGCUUGGGGGUAGAAGCUGUUAAGAAGUCUUUUGGACCUAGACUUGGCGUUCCGGUACCGCUUGCCAUAUGGUAGCAGAGAGAACAUUUUAUGACUAGGGUGGCUGGAGUCUUUGAUAGUUUUUUGGGCCUUCUUCUGACACCGCCUGGUAUAGAGGUCCAGGAUGGCAGGAAGCUUGGCUCCAGUGAUGUACUGGGCCGUACGCACUACCCUCUGUAGUGCCUUGCGGUCAAAGUCCGACCUGUUGCCAUACCAGGCAGUGAUUCAACCAGUCAGGAUGCGCUCGAUGGUGCAGCUAUAGAAUUUUGAGGAUCUGAGGACCCAUGACAAAUCUUUUCAGUCUCUUGUGGGGGAAUAGGCUUUGUUGUGCCCUCUUCACGACUAUUGGUGUGUUUGGACCAAGAUAGUUUGGUGAUGUGGACACCAGGGAACUUGAAGCUCUCAACCUGCUCCACAACAGCCCCGUCGAUGAGAAUAGGGGCGUGGUUAGUCCUCCUUUUCCUGUAGUCCACAAUCAUCUCCUUUGUCUUGAUCACAUUGAGGAAGAGGUUGUUGUCCUUGCACCACAUUGUCAUGUCUCUGACCUCCUUAUAGUCUUUCUCGUCGUUGUCGGUGAUCAGGCCUACCACUGUUGUCACCGGCAAACUUAAUGAUGGUGUUGGAGUCGUGCCUGGCCGUGCAGUCAUGACUGAACAGGGAGUACAGGAGGGGACUGAGCAUGCACCCUCGAGGUGCCCCCGUGUUGAGGAUCAGCGUGGCGGAUGUGUUGUUACCUACCCUUACCACCUGGGAGCGGCCCGUCAGGAAGUCCAGGAUCCAGUUGUACAGGGAGGGGUUUAGUCCCAGGGUCCUUAGCUUAGUGAUGAGCUUUGAGGUGUUGGUGUUAUCACCACUGGUGUUGAUAUCGUACUGGUGAGCAGAUAACAAUAACGCCCAUCGCUGCACGUGGCUGGUUGCAAGCGACGGAAUGCCGGUGUGGGGACCAACGAUGGAGGUGAGGCGUCAGCAGUGUGAA